rnacentral:rRNA from 1 species
UGCGUAGGCGGAUUAAUAAGUCAGUGGUGAAAUCUUUCGGCUCAAACGAGAAACUGCCAUUGAUACUGUUAAUCUUGAGUUCGGUUGAGGUAGGCGGAAUGUGUAAUGUAGCGGUGAAAUGCUUAGAUAUUACACAGAACACCAAUUGCGUAGGCAGCUUACUAGACCGACACUGACGCUGAGGCACGAAAGCGUGGGGAGCGAACAGGAUUAGAUACCCUGGUAGUCC